UCUUAUUGCUUCUCAAAGCUUUGAUGGUGUAGCCGAAGUCUUUAUGAGUCUUUGGAUUUGUAUCUUCUAACAAGGAAACACUACUUAGGCUUUUAAGAUCCAGUUGUGGUGCUAGUUCUUAUACACAAUCAUACACAUGACAUCUAGUCAUAUUUCAUU
rnacentral:sRNA from 1 species